UCUCUGUCACCGCCACCGCGUCCUUCCGUCUUCAUCUUCUACGUGUCAUCCUGUUCGUCUUCAUCAUCUCCGUCUCAAGGUGAUUUAUUGUCGAAACUAUGACAUCAUCAAAAAAUGGCGACGAAACUGAAGUGCGAAUGAGGCAUAGCUGUAUCCCGGUGAAUUUGAGCAGCAUCAAUGAAAAGUUAACAAAAACUCAACGUGCUCACAUCGAACGCACCCCAUUCAAAUGGGCGAUGGAUAUUUCUAACAACUUCUUAAUCUCAGGUGGUUUAUUGUGGGAGUUGGUAAGUAGAUGGGAUGUACGUAGUAGGGGAUUUAGGGUUAGGGAUAGAAUAGUUCCCUUUACUCCAGUUGAUGUUUCUUUUGCUCUUGGAUUGUCUAUUGUUGGUAAGUCUCUAGUAGUAGAAGAAGAUCAACAAUGUGAAACAUUAGAUCUAUUUAAA